UAGCUCAGUUGGUAGAGCAGUUGACUUUUAAUCAAUUGGUCGCAGGUUCGAAUCCUGCACGACCCACCACUUCCAGAACAGAAUACCGUAGUAAAGCGUGAAGGAUAACGUUGCGACAGCAACGGCCCGAAGGGCGAGGCGAAGCCGAGUCAUCCUGCACGACCCACCA
rnacentral:sRNA from 1 species